rnacentral:lncRNA from 1 species
UGCGCAUAAUGGUCACCUGGGCCUUCGGCAAACACUGACCCCUGCCCAGCCGCUGCCCUGGCCCCUCGCCACGUCCCUCUGGAAAAGAUCCAGUAGCAGAGCCAGGUUCUCAAACUGGGUCCCAUGGUCAACCGAGCCCCAUCUUCUUCUUUGGACUGGAGUUGGUGCAAAGCCACCCGGGUGCAUCCUGAUUUUUCCCUCUUGCACUUAGGGCUUUUCUCAUGGAUAUGAAAAGGUUUUCUUUCUUUGCUCUCUUUGUACUGAGAGGUGAGUGAUGAUAGCAGUGCUAUUGUAGAGUAAAAGUUAGACAGUGAGAGUGGGUGACUGGGGUGCAUCUGAACAGAGGGCCCGUGGCAGCAGGUGUACCACCUGGGCUGGACCUGAACCUGCCACUGGAGUAACUGCAGUAUCCAGGGUGGCACUUCUCUUCCCUUCCUAACUGGGGUUGAUCCCGGUUUGCUUUAUAGAGGCCACGUUGUUACAGGUCCCUCCUGGACGCCGAGGCAAUGAAACGCCAAAAUCCAAUGGUGACUUGGCCAUUUGCUGCCCGAGGGACCCUCAGAGAAUCCAGGCCAAAUUAGAGGCCAAUGGCCCCUAGAUGCCCAUGAUGAUGGCUUUUGGGAUAGGAAGGAAACUGUAGGAGUGAGGAAGACCUUAUCCUUUGACUCCUGGCACUAAUCAACAACGAUUAAGUUCAAAUGAGUGGAUUAAGUAGCUGGGGAAUGUCAAGUGCAGUAGGCCCUCGACGAGCAAACACAGUGCAGAAGAGUCCUCCUGUCACAGCCUGAAGCUGGAGAUUAUUGGGCAAAAGAAAAAGAGAAAUGGUGGUGGUGGAGGGAAGGCUCAAAAGCAUCAUGAGUUGAACAGAGAAGUGAAGAAAAGUAAUUUGAGGUCAGCAUGGAGCCUUCCCAGGAUACAAAAGUGCUCUGGAAUGUUAGCAAGAGUGGAAGACACUCUUCCUGUCCCUGGAAAGCCGACCUCCCAGGGGGUGUUGGGAGAAGAGAGAAUAAUUAAAUAGUGUGAGCAGGGCUUCAGGAGACCACGGGGAUCGUGCAGG